rnacentral:tRNA from 1 species
GCGAGAGUGGCGGAAUUGGCAGACGCGCUGGAUUUAGGAUCCAGUGGGGAAACCCGUGCAGGUUCGAGUCCUGUCUCUCGCA